UCGUUUCACGAAUACCGCGGGUGGUUUGCGCGAAGGCUCGCCGCCGCCUUUAGCCGUUGCGCGACGGAUCGUCCGUCGUUUCGCGGUCCGAGGUUCGUCCGCGUGUCUUCGACCACCUUUCCCGCCUGGAUUCUUGUGCGGUUUUACUCGUCGAUUUGAGUGACAAUCGCGAGCGAUGUAAUCGUGCCCUGACGUCACACGGCUAAUCAAGUGCACACACGAACGCAACACAGGCGCGCGCGCGCCUGCUACUCGUAUUCGUAUACACGGAUGGUCUACGUAGCUGCUCACGGUAUACCACAUACAACACGUAUACAGCCGUGCACACGGCUAAACUGAUAGAGAGAACGAAGGAAAGGGAAACAGUGUGCAAGAUCGCAAAAGACAGAGGAGAAAGAACGGAAACGGAGAGAUAAGAAAGAAAGGGAAAUAUAUAUAUAUAUAUAUGCGUAUCUACAUAUAUAUGUAUAUGUUGCGUAGCAAGAGAACGGUAUUAGAGAAAAGGGGUGAGGCGUAAGACGUAUAGACAGAGGACAAUUCACACUUGCAUACGUCUAUGUAGGCUUGUAACGAGCCUUUCGCCUUUAUAAAACAUUAUGCGUAGAUAUCACAGCGAAAAACACGAGACGGUAAGAAGCCCGAAAUUCUUUCUCCGGUUGAUGUAUUCGAGCAUUGAUUUUUCUCGAACGACUUGUUUUUGUAACUCUCGCAAAGUAUUUCGCGUUUUGGACACGUGCAAAACAAGGCUAUGAAAUAGAAUAAAGAAGAACCAGACGAAAGAGCGAGAGAGAAGUGUCUACAUCUCGUGGCGCCCCGUUGUGUUUUUCUACGGAAAACUGUGCUCGGAACCUGCCUGAACUUUCAGAGUGGAAGAAAACGUUUAGCAAACGGAAGAGAAAAAUUUUUCUUUCCGAAAGGUAAACUGAAAGGGGAAGAAAAAUUUCAUUCGUACGUAUAUCAUCUGAUCUAAUCAGUGAAACUCAGUGAGAAACCAAACGAAGAAGUUUGAACUGGAACGACAGACUUCAAUGGACAAAACAAGUUUUAUCCCAAUCGAACCGGUCAGUGAGUGUAAUAUAAUUUUUGUGUGUUAUCUCUUGUUGAAGCCUUUUUUCUUGCUGUUAUGUGAAUUUUUAUCAUGAAUAUAGAAGUGUGUACGUGCGACACGAUUGCGGGUGUACCUUGUUCGUGCAAUAAUAAGAAAGUGGGGUCUGUACGUUCCGUUUUUAUUAACUUGUCGGACGGUCCACUGCUUUGAGAGUCAAGUUCGUCGCGCUUCGCUGUACGCGCCGUGUCUGGUGCGCACAUAUUUCCUCGCGCUUUCGGUUGCGCUCCGCGACAAGCUUUCUAUUCCAAGUGAGAUGAAAUAUAUCCUCUCCGUCAUAUCGAGAACUAUCGGAUUGGCAAAGAUUACGAGGAUCUGUAAAAGCUGCAGUGCGAGGAAACCUCAUCGAGGAGGAUGAAAGAAUCUUUGACAGCUCAAUCACGACAAGACGAUUCCUAAAAGAAAUAAUUAUUCUCAGGCGUUCGCACCUAAAAUAUUCUCUCGUUGGUGUCUUUGUGAGAAUUGCUUAUUGAAUAUUUAUAGGAGAUUGCUCGCAUAGGAAAGCAGACAGAGAACCGUUCCUGGUCAGUGAUAACAGUGGAGUUGGAAGAACAGGAACGUCUAAGUUUUCUGUUCUUCGUCGAUAGAUCACGCGUACGAUAAUACGCGGUUAACGAUGGAAGGAAAAUCUGCGAAUAUCUCGACGUGCACGUGAGCGAGCGAGAAAGUGGACGUGUCGAAAAGUGAAGUCGAUAUUCGAGGGCGAAAAGGAAACGAUGUGACGGUGCUGCUCGGUCGAUAAGGAGAGUCAUAUCGUGUAAAGUGCCAAGAAGACCAGAGAAAAAGAAAGUGUACUUAAUAUCAGUUAUUUUUGUUUUACGUUCGCGACAGUGAUCUUGUGUUAUUGGUGACGUGACAAGAUUCUUGGGUAAAAGAGACGCCGAAUGUCGGUAAACGAAGAGGAAGCGCACGAUAGGACGAUGCGAUUAAGAACGCAUGUUCGGCCAGUGAGUUUCGGUCGAGGAAAGGAAACUAUUCGUCUUCGUUGAUUUUUCGUUGUUCUCAUCAACACGGGACGAAACGAGAAGUGACCGAGAGUGAAACGAAUUAUUACGUUUCUUCGUUCGUUGUUUUUACGGACUCGCGAGCCACUAGGUACUCGAUUCGUGGUUUCGGACUCGACGGAGGAGAAGCGGCAAUUUUCUCCGCGUAAACGAGAUAAAAAAAGAAAGGAUUCUACGAAUUUGACAAAUUGGAAAAGUGUUGGUGGUGAUUAAUAGUGGUGCAUUCGUUGAUUGUUGGUUGUGAUAUCCGCGUUAUUGGUUGUGCGAGGGUGUGGUGAAAAAAAAAAAAAAAAACGGGGUGGUGUGGUGGUGGCACAUCGUGUAAAAAGAGAACACUCGACUGUGACUCUUAACUCAUUACCACGGAUCUCCCCCGGCAGUUUGACGCCACAGCCAUCCUCGAUGAGAGGAGGCACAUGUCCAUUGCUGCCGCUGAAAAUGCAGGGCCUAGCCCGUGUGAUCUACAGGACCCACUGUGGGUCAAAAUGAGUGCGAUUACUGGCAGCAUCACCAAGAAAAGAAAGAAAUCAGAUGCCAAGCCUCAGUCACAGAUUAACAAGUGCCUUAACGAAAAAAGACGACGGAACCAGGAGAACCUGUUUAUCGACGAGCUUACCGAGCUGAUUUCCGCCACGGACAUGAGCUCUGGCAAGACUGACAAAUGCCAGAUCCUUCAGAGAACCGUCGACCAGAUUCGGCACAUUAGGGAACAGGAAGGCCCGAAUAGUCAUGCGGUACAACAGGGAGAAGUGUCUUCUUCGAAUCCUAACAUACUGUCCAACGAUCAAGUUGGUCCUAUUUUACUCGAGGCGCUAGAUGGCUUCCUUUUUGUUGUAAAUACGGAGGGACGAGUGGAGUACGUAACAGAUAACAUAACUCAGUACAUAAAUUACACGAAGGACGAUGUUCUCGGCAAGGAUAUUUAUAAUAUUAUUCAUCAUGGAGACCACAACGCCUUCAUGCCGAGCUUGUUGCCUAUACCAUUAGCCUGGAUGAACGAGCAGCAGCCGCCCCAAAGGAACCGUACCUUCACUUGCCGCUUCUUGGUGAAGCCUCCCGAUGAUAAAGAAGAGACUAUGGAGGAGAAGCAGCAACGAGUAUCAAAAUACGAGUCUAUGCAAAUCUGUUCAGCUCUUUUGCCAAAUAAUAGUGAUCGUCUGGAGAGCGGUGACGUAUCGUCUGAAUCUUCAGACAACGGUCCUUGCGUAAUGUGCGUGGCUCGCAGGAUACCCCUAAACGAGAAGCCCAUUGGUACGCCCAUCGAACAGUUCACCGUCAAGUUGGACACUACGGGGAAGAUUAUCGCGGUUGAUGUUAUCUGGUUAUCGUCUCCUUACUCUGAGUACCUAAGCAAGGAGCUAAUUGGCACGACGAUAAGGGACCUGUGCCACCCUGAUGAUCUCAAUAACCUAACUGCACAUUUGAACGACACGCUUCAAAAGGGUGAGAGUACCAGUAGCGUGUACCGACUACGCGUUAGUCCUGAUAAGUUCCUUAAUAUUCAAACAAAGUCAAAGCUUUUCAAAGCAAAUGUGAUGAACACACUUGUUGCCGACUUCAUUAUGGCCACCAAUACCAUCAUUGGGGACAAUGACUUAACGCCUAUCGAGGGUGGUCAGCUUUCCAACAACAAAGUGUGCUCUGGACACUCUAGUAACCGUUGUGCGAAUAAUAGUAAUAAUAAUAAUGGUAACAAUAACAAUAACGUGGGUGGCCCGCUGAUGUCCGUGGCGCAUCUAAACGGUCAAGUGAGUGGUAUCAGUAGUCGGGGGUUGGCGGGUACGUCGUCGCACACCGGUACCGCCGCGACAUCGUCAAACUCGAUAGUGUUUAGCGCGGCCGAGUCUUGCAACCCCCUGCCGUCGCUGAGUACCAGUAAUCCGUUCAACCACUUUUCGGGGAACAUGGACUUGGAAUUCGAGCUCUUCCCCAGUUCCACAUGGGACUUGGAUAGUAACAGCGGGUGGGCAGAUAGGCCCGAAUCGAGAGCGAGCGGGCCACCAAAUUCACGACCAUCUUCCCAGCCAGCCCCGACAUCUCCGAGUCCCCAGGGAACGUUCUCCUCUAACUCGGCGGUGGCGCCUCACUGCAGUCCCCUACGCGCGUUCAGCCCAACUUCAGGCAACGCAGCUCACACCUUCAGUAAUUCGUUCCCCUUCAGUCCGCUUCAGGAAUCACAGACGUCCUCCUUGACCAACAGCGCUACUAGUAGUGUUAGUGCCAACGGAGCCGCCGGAUUGACGCCCAAGAGACAGGAUGAAGGGAAGACCGGAUGUUCGACGACCAACCAAUCUGCCAUGGAGGCGGGCAACGCGAGAAACAACGCGACCUCCGUCACUGGAACUGCGGCCGUUGCAGCCGCUGCCGCAGCCGCAGCCGCGGCUGGCCAAACUGGCUCCACCGGGACCGUUAUCGAAACUCAGAACAGUGUUGUGUCCACCGAGUCUGGUAGACUAAGAAACUUGUUGACCAAGGGGGCUAGUGCUAGUGAGGACAGUCAGGACAAUGCGAAUAACGAUUCGGAGAGAGAAAAUAAACAUAGAAUAUUGAAGAUCUUGUUGAAUCAGCAAGACGAGGACGAUUUUCAUCCCGAGCAUAAUAAUAAAGUGCGCACGAGUCCUAGCAACAUGCCGAAACCGAGCAUGGAGCAUUCGAAAUCUUCGCUUGGAAAUAAUAUGCUGCUACAGCUAUUAAACGAAAAGAAUGACGACGAAGAUGAAGAGGCUCGCAUUGGCUUGAAGAAGAGGAACGAACUUUUGCAACAGCUUCUGAAAGACCAAGAUGACGAGAGAAAAGUACAAGAACAACAGUGUAAGUCACAAACCCGGGAAGAGGAUUCUCUGUUGCGAAGUCUUGGAUUUCGGAACACGACGCCAUCGCCGUCUCAAUCAAGCGACAAUGUCGGACACGGUGGCUCCACUCAAGUCGGUCAGAAGAGACCUGGCGAAGAUGGUGACGUGAACAUAGCCGCGAAACGACCCAUGGAUGGAUCGCAUCAAGUGUCUUCUUCUGGCACGUCCACUAACGCGACCAGCAAGCUCUGGGAGAGGAACAAGAUGUUGGCUUCGUUGUUGGCCAAACAACCUCCUCAGCCAACCACUAUCCCACCAAUACCUGCAUCUGUGAUAUCGGCUACCCCGCAGGACAAGCUGCUUCGCAUAGGGUUAAAAUCCCAACAGCAACAGCAACAGUCACAACAACAGCAAUCCCAGCCACAACAACAACAGCAACAACAGCAGCAGCAGCAACAACAGCAGCAACAGCAGCAACAACAGCAGCAGCAGCAGCAGCAGCAACAACAACAACAGCAGCAGCAGCAGCCUUGGACAGGUGGCAGCUUGCAGUCGGUUGGUGGCAAUAAUACGAUUACGACUACCGCUACUUCCGCACGUACUCCUCUCCAAAGCCAGUCGAGACAACUACCUCGCCAAACAACCAAUACCUACCUCACUCAUAUGCUAAGUCAGCAACAAAGACCUCAAAUUGGUCAAAUAGAUUCGGAAUUUACGGGCAGCGGGGAGUAUCGGCAAACGAGCACCGAUCCCAGUGGUUGGGACAACCAGUCAUCAGAUCCUGAUCUUUCCGAUAUAUUGGAUCAAGUUAUCGAGUUCGUGCCGGAUGAAGCUAUCACAGAUUCGUCUGCGAUAGCAAAUCUCCUAGAUGCAAUCGAAGCACCGCAAAACAACGCGUUGAACGAGAAGAUGGCGAUUAACGCGAUACAGAAGUCGUUGAUGUUAUGCGAGACUGCCGUAAAUCCAACGUCUUCCACCAUAACAAUUCCUGGCACGCCUCCAGCUUACUCUACAGCAUUGGGUACCACCCCUGUAACGACGAGUCAUAGUUACCAGCCACCACCGAUAUAUCAACAACAGUCAAGGAUGAGGUUUAACACGCAACCGGGCGUCAGGCAGACGACCGCUCAAUUCACGCAACAGCAGCAAUUACAAAUGCAACAGCAGCGGACGAAAAUGAUACAACAACAACAACAGCAACAGUUGAAGCAGAGGUUGCUUCAGCAACAGCAGCAACAGCAGUUACUCAUUCCUUCCAAUGCUACAGCUACGGACCAAAUUACUACCGGAAUUCACAAUAUCGAUAACCUUUUGAACAAUACUGUUGCGCCAAAUGUAUCGUUACAGCGGUCGAGUGUUCCAGAUUCACAAGUGUCCCCAGGUUAUGGGGGAUCCGUCCAGAUGCCUUCCGGUCAUCGACUUGCUCAUUCGUAUUCUCAUCCUGCAACGUUACCACAACACCCUAUUGUAAACAGUAAUUUUAACAGUGGUCAACAAGUGUCUGUGGCAGCGCGACUCUCGCCGCACUCUCCGGCUGGUAUUUUGUCAUUUUCCCACCCUCAGCCGUUGUCGCCACGGGUGACGCAAGGCAACUAUGGUAAUACCCCGAGAUUAUUCACCGUUAACCAGGUGAGAUCGCAGCAACAACCUACCGCGCAGCAGCAGUUGCAGCAACAGCAGAGAUCGAUGCCGUCGCCAGGGACUCCGGCAUCUGCUCGACAGUCUCCGUUUCCUGCGGAAACCUUUCCCCCACCUACGUCCCCCACAGCCAGCCAAUUUCCACCUGGCCCCAAUCCUGGUGCUCCAAAUCCUUCGACCCAAUAUCGGUUGCAACGGACCACUUCUACACCUUCAGCUACGACUCAGUUGCCAGGUGGGGUAGGUUCGCCCCGGCACUACGGCGGAGUGAGUAAGGAACAACCUCUUCUUUCACCUAGUCAUCCACAUUCGGGUUGCAACCCGGCAACACCGACUCACAAUCAACACAACGUAACGAAUACCCAACAACACUUCUCCAACCAACAACAUUCUUCUAUGAUAUACCACACGACCGCCAAUACUAUCAACACAGCUGACAUGCAGAACAAUCAGUUCUGUUACGAUCGGACGUCUGUUCCACUCUAUUCGUCAGGGCCUGGGGACACGCAGGAUGCCAGGUCUUUGCCUCCCGGUAAUCCUGUCAAUCACCAAUUGGGUGGAAAUGCUAGCAGCACUUCGGAGUUCGUAAGGCAAGAACUGAGAGCGAUCGUUGGCGCACGAACGCAACAACAGCAACAACAAAGGAUACCUAACAAUAUUCAGAACAAUCUUUCUGGUCAAGUAUCUCAGGAUGAUCUCGAAGCACUCGGUCUGACGUUCGAAAUGUCUUCUGCAGGUGAGGCUGUGGUUAGCGAUGGCCCUGCCAAGAGCUGGGCCAUUGGGAGUGCCGGAAGUGCCCCCUCAUCCUCCAGGAACAAUAAUAGAAGGUUUUAUCGUCGCCAUCGUUUUCAAGAAUUGGGAACCUGGAAUACUUUCACUUGAUAUCUUUAUCUCGUAGUAAAGACACGACAUAGAGCAUAUACGGGAGAAGAAAAGAAAAGAAAAGGAAAGAAAAAAGAAAAUUACUUCUAUGGAGGAAGUAGCUCGAGGUGAUCCGAAGGUGAACCAGUCGUCCCUGUUACAGAAACUGUUGUCCGAGUGACUGCCGGCCAACGCUCUGCACAGUAAAGGGAUCUAUGUAAUAUACGUUUGAACGCGAAACCAGAAACAGGAAGAACGAGAAAAGGGAAACAAGGAAUAUGAAGACGGAAAAGGAAAGGGAAAACGAGAGAAUGAGAGAAAAGAAAUUGGAUAGGAAUCGAUGAUACAUACACGCAUGUACACCCUAUACGUAAUGGAUACUAAUUGUAUUAUAUGUAAACGCUGCAACACACGAAGUCAGUAUUCAGAUACGUAUCACCAAAUACAAUUUCGAAGGAGGAAUUAAAGAAAAGAAAUGUUAGACCGCUGCGCCGUGCUCUCCGUGGCCUCUUUGCGUUUCCAACAGUUCGAACUCGCGGAACAACAUGUCACGGAACGUCGACCGAGUGCAUCGACGUUUAACUCGUUCGAACUCCAAGGACGAAAAAGUUUCCGUUUUUCGUUUGGCUGUGUCGAGAUUUUUUCCAUGAUUCUACUAGGUCGUCCUUGACCUCGUUGACGUUGAGACGGAUGAUCUUAGUUUUCGGCGAGGAAUAACCGGCAAGGUGGAUCAGUGUUGAUGAACGAUCGAACAAACAGCAAUUGGUGGAUCGAAAUUUGUGAAUCGAAACCGUAGAAAAGGUGUGAGAACAUGGAUCUCGCGAUUCGACGAUGUUACGGGGAUGAGAGGAGGUUUGGGCGCGGGGAGCACGUGGCACGAUAGCGCGAUGUUCUUAUUUUAUAUAUAUACAUGGAUAUAUAAAAAAGAAAGAAAGAAAGAAAGAAAGAAAGAAAGCCUUUCUCGGGGCAAUCCAGCUUCGGACGAUAUUUGAGUAUAUAUAAAUAGAUAAAUAUAAAUAAAUAAAUAUAAAUAUAUAUAUACAUAUAUAUAUACAUAUAUAUAUAUAUAUAUAUACAUAUGAUUACAAAUAUAAUACCGACACGAUAAACUGACGGCCGUGUAACUCUAUAUUCAGGGUUGCUACGCAUUGCCGUCAGUAUUGUAUUUGGUAUCACUGAAAGAAACUACGUAGGUACCUCAAAGGUAUACUUUAUUAUACCACUGGCUGUUGAACAUAGAACUAUUUAUAGGUUUAAUUAUUGUACACAAGAGUGAUGAAGUAAGAGUAUGAUAAAGAAGGCGGUGGAGAAGCUGAAAAAAAAAAGAAAGCAAAUAGAGCACUAUUUCACGUAUUCUCUUAAUUUAACGAUCCGUUUUGACUAUUACAUUUAUGAAUAAUAUAUUUGUGAUUGUAAGAAUCCGCAACCAAAAUGUGACAAAGAAUACUUGUUGUUGUUAAUAUGAUUAUAACUAUUAUUAUUAUAUAAUAAUUAUUAUUAUAUUAUUUUA